GACAACAUUCUUCCCCAAUGAACCGUUUAUCUUAUUGGUGAUCACGGGUGACCAUCGUGCGCCUUGGUAACAGUUGAUAGCGACAUAUUAUAACGAGGCUUCGUUUAUUUCAACAAACCAUUCGCAUUCGUUAUUUCGUCGUAAGUAAAACGUGCAGAAUAUAUUGUUAAAACGUGUAGAAGAUAUUAGUAAACAGUAUUAUGAUUAUUUUUAUGAUUUCGACGAAACAUUCGGCUAAAAUGGUAGAGGUCCGCAAGAAAAUUAUGUUUGUGAUAAACCAAUGGUAGUGGUAGAUUACAACAGAGGAAAAUGUGCUGUAGAUUUAUCGGACCAAAUGAUAGCAUAUUCUACACCACAUAGAAGAACCCCCAAGUGAUAUAUAAAAUUAGCUUUAGAGUUAUUGUUAAAUACAUCAAUUUCAAACGCGAUGAUACUCUAUAAACAAGCAACAAAAACAAAAAUCAAGGUAUCAGAUUUUAGAAUGGCACUCGGAAUGCACCUUACACAGUGCCAUUCACCAGAGCCGUCAAAUAUACUUAUUCGAAAAAGAUUGCGACACGAAAUGCAGAAGAAGGAAGGGGCAAGUGUACUUGGCACGAAAAUUUUGCAGAGGGUACUAUAAAAAAAUGUUAAACAGUUAGGAUCAAAAAUUUCUAAGAAUCGAACCAAAAAGGUGACCACCUAUUGUCCAGAUUGUAUUGAUGAGCCACAUUUAUGUUUAAAGUGCUUUAACACAGUGUACCGUUAGAUGCAAGAUUUGUUCUCAUCUUUUUUUAUUGAUGUUCUAAUAAAAAUGUUUAAUUGUUCAA